UCGGAGCAAGAUGGCGGCGGCGGGGUCCGUGAGGCGCGGGCGGCGGCGACCGCGGCGCCAGUGAGGGGGCCCUGGGGCCCGGGCGGCUCCGGGCCGGGGCCCCGCCGCGGGACGGACCAUGCUACGCUCCACUGGCUUCUUCCGGGCCAUUGACUGCCCCUAUUGGUCUGGGGCGCCCGGGGGGCCCUGCCGGCGGCCCUACUGCCACUUCCGGCACCGCGGGGCCCGGGGCCCCGGCGCGCCCGGUGACGGCGGAGAGGCGCCCCCCGCAGCAGGGCUGGGUUAUGACCCCUACAACCCUGAGCUGCCCAAGCCCCCCGCGCAGAGGGAGAAUGGCACCCUGGGCCUGGGGGAGGAGCCGCGCCCGGAUGUGCUGGAGUUGGAGCUGGUCAACCAGGCCAUCGAGGCCGUGCGCAGUGAGGUGGAGCUGGAGCAGCGGCGCUACCGGGAGCUGCUGGAGACGGCCCGUGAGCACCGCUCCGCCGAGGCCCCCGCCCUGGCGCCCCGCGGCCCCAACGCCAGCCCCACUGUGGGCCUGGACGAGGAUGCCUUCCCGCUGGCCUUCGACUACAGCCCCGGCAGCCACGGCCUGUCAAGCCCUGAUGCCGGCUACCAGCCCACCCCACUGGCCGCCCCUGCCGAGCCGGGCAGCAAGUACUCGCUGGCGUCCCUGGACAGGGGUCAGGGCAGAGGUGGAGGGGGUGGCGGUGCCCUGGAAUACGUCCCCAAGGCUGUGAGCCAGCCCCGGCGGCACAGCCGCCCGGUUCCCAGUGGCAAGUACGUGGUGGACAACUCCAGGCCACCCACAGACCUGGAGUAUGACCCUCUCUCCAACUACUCGGCCCGGCACCUCAGCAGGGCCAGCUCCCGGGAUGAGCGGGCCGCCAAGCGGCCCCGGGGCUCCCGCGGCAGUGAGCCCUACACACCUGCUCCCAAGAAGCCCUGUGACCCCUUUGGCAGUUGCGAUGCAAGGUUCUCAGACUCAGAAGAUGAGGCCGCCACGGUCCCAGGUAACGAGCCCACCGCGGCCAGCACCCCCAAAGCCAGGGCCGACCCUGAGAUGAAGGCCACCGGGCAGCCACCCUCCAAAGAGGGCCUGGAGGCCGAGGGGGGCGGCCUGCGGGAGACCAAGGAGACGGCCGUGCAGUGCGACGUGGGGGACCUCCAGCCGCCCCCAGCCAAGCCCGCCUCCCCAGCCCAGGUCCAGUCCUCACAGGAUGGGGGUUGCCCCAAGGAGGGAAAACCCAAGAAGAAAAAAACCGGGGCCCCACCUGCCCUCAGCUGCAAAGACGGGGCCCAGGGGAAGGACAAGACCAAGGACAAGGGCCGAGGGCGGCCUGCGGAGAAGCCCCGUGCGGACAAGAGGGGCCCGCAGGCCAGCAGCCCCCGGCGCAAGGCAGAGCGGCCGGAAGGGACCAAGAAGAAGCCAUCUUUGGCCACUCCUGUGGCCACCUCAGGGAAAGGGAGGCCUGACCGGCCAGCGCGGCGGCCGAGCCCCACAAGCGGGGACUCCCGACCGGCGGCCGGCGGAGGCCCACCCCACCCCCUCCAGCUGCCCGACAGGAAGAGCACCAAGGCCCCGUCGGGGAAGCUAGUGGAGCGGAAAGCCCGCUCCCUAGACGAGGGCGCCUCCCAGGACGCCCCCAAGCUGAAGAAGCGGGCCCUGAGCCACGCCGACCUCUUUGGGGACGAGAGUGAGGACGAGGCCGCAGGGCCAGGGGUGCCGAGCGUGUGGCCCUCGGCCCUCCCCAGCCUCAGCUCGGACUCAGACUCCGACUCAGACUCCAGCCUGGGCUUCCCGGAGGCGCAGGGGCCGCCCAAGCGGCUCAAGGCCUCCCCGCCCCCCUCCCCCGCCCCAUCCUCCUCCUCCUCCUCCUCCACCUCCACCUCCAGCGCGGGGGCGGAUGUGGACUACUCGGCCCUGGAGAAGGAGGUGGACUUUGACUCCGAUCCCAUGGAGGAGUGCCUGCGGAUCUUCAACGAGUCCACCAGCGUCAAGACGGAGGACAGAGGCCGGCUGGCCCGGCAGCCCCCCAAGGAAGAGAAGAGCGAGGAGAAGGGGCUUUCGGGUCUGACCACUCUGUUCCCCGGGCAGAAGAGGAGGAUCUCCCACCUUUCCAAGCAAGGCCAGGAGGUGGAGCCCCCGAGGAGGAGUCCCGCGGUGCCCCUGGCCCGGCCCCCGACGGCGCAGGAGGUGUGCUACCUGCGGGCCCAGCAGGCGCAGAGGGCAUCGGCGAGCUUGCUGCAGGCCCCCGCCAGGCUAGCGGAGAAGCCGCCCUCCGUCCACAUUUCCGCCCCUGGCGAGAAGAGGAGGAUCGCCCACAUCCCCAACCCCCGCCUGGCUGCCGCCCCCACAGGUGCCAAGAGGACCCUUGCGGCCAGCGGCAGCCAGCCCUCCAACGGCCCCGAGCCGGGUGGCCAGCAGCUGAAAACACGCACAUUGUCGGGGAUGGCGUCCAAGACUACCACCACCAUCACCCCUAAGCGAAUCGCCCACAGUCCAUCCUUACAGAGUUUAAAGAAACCCAUUAUCCCCAAAGAGUUUGGGGGCAAAGUCCCCACCGUCAUCCGCCAGCGCUAUCUCAACCUGUUCAUCGAGGAGUGUCUCAAGUUCUGUACCUCCAACCAGGAGGCCAUAGAGAAGGCACUGAACGAGGAGAAGGUGGCCUAUGACCGCAGCCCCAGCAAGAACAUCUACCUGAAUGUGGCCGUGAACACCCUCAAGAAGCUCAGGGGCCUGGCCCCCAGCGCUGUGCCCGGCCUCAGCAAAACCAGUGGCCGCAGGGUUGUGUCCCACGAGGUGGUGUUGGGGGGCAGGUUGGCCGCCAAGACCAGCUUCUCGCUCAGCCGUCCAAGCAGCCCCCGGGUGGAGGACCUGAAAGGGGCUGCCCUGUACAGCCGCCUCAGGGAGUACCUGCUCACCCAGGACCAGCUCAAGGAGAACGGCUACCCCUUCCCGCACCCAGAGCGGCCCGGGGGCGCAAUCAUCUUCACAGCUGAGGAGAAGAGGCCCAAGGACUCUUCCUGCAGGACCUGCUGCCGCUGUGGCACCGAGUACCUCGUGUCCUCUUCAGGCCGCUGUAUCCGGGACGAGGAGUGUUAUUACCACUGGGGACGGCUGCGCCGGAACCGGGUGGCCGGAGGCUGGGAGACCCAGUACAUGUGCUGCUCGGCUGCCGCCGGCUCUGUCGGCUGCCAAGUCGCAAAGGGUCCCAACCAGUGAAUGGGCGUGAUGGAUGGAUAGGAUGGUCCCGAAGGGCUCAGAGAUGUGCUGCUGCUGCCACCCCCGCCCCCACUGCACCCUGAAGCUGCCCUCACCUGCCUUCUCCACCCCCAGCAACACGUGCAGGAUGGCCGGAAGGAGCGCCUUGAGGGCUUCGUGAAGACCUUUGAGAAAGAGCUCUCAGGAGACGCCCACCCGGGGAUCUACGCCCUGGACUGCGAGAUGUCCUACACCACAUAUGGCCUGGAGCUGACGCGCGUCACGGUGGUCGACACGGACGUGCACGUGGUUUAUGAUACCUUCGUGAAACCUGACAACGAGAUCGUGGACUACAACACCAGGUUUUCGGGGGUGACGGAGGCUGACCUUGCCGACACAAGUGUCACGCUGCGUGACGUCCAGGCCGUUCUGCUGAGCAUGUUCAGCGCUGACACCAUCCUCAUCGGACACAGCCUGGAGAGCGACCUCCUGGCCCUGAAGGUCAUCCACAGCACCGUGGUGGACACGUCUGUGCUCUUCCCCCACCGCCUGGGCCUCCCCUACAAGCGGUCCCUGCGGAACCUCAUGGCCGACUACCUCAGACAGAUCAUCCAGGACAAUGUGGAUGGGCACAGCUCCAGCGAGGAUGCCGGCGCCUGCAUGCACCUGGUGAUCUGGAAGGUUCGAGAAGACGCCAAGACCAAGCGAUGACGCCUGCCCGCCUCCCACCCGCCUCUCCUGCCGUCCCGCUGGUCCUUAGCCCCAUGCCUCUUCCAAAACAGUGCAAUAAAUCUCCGGUAACCCGUCCACCUGGCCGAGGCAGCCCAGAGCAGCGGGAUGAGCUGGCGGCCAGAGAACGCCCAGCCCAGCCCACCCCUGCUCACGUCCUGCCGCACUCCUCCGCCGCACCCCUCCGCCGGUCCCCACCCUCUGCCCCCCAGCCCUCUGGCGUCUCUAGAAACUGCUGCUGAUGGAGACCAGGAAAGAGCCCGCCCCCACCCGGCCCGCAGCCCCUCCUGCCCCUCCUGCCAGGCCCUCCCUCCCAGGUGGUGGCCGGCACCUCUGCUCCUCACGUGGGUCGCGGGGCGGGCUUGUCCCAGGUUUGUUUGAGACAGUCUUUUUUUAUUUUGUAUUGUUAUUUUUAUUAUUUUUAAUUUAAACCUGAUGACUUGCACAGCAUCUUUCCCACCGGGAAGAGCGGGCCUGCGCCUUCCCUCCUGCGGGGUGGGGGUGGGACAGACCCCACUGGGGGCCAGGGCCACACUCAGCCCAGUGUGGGCUGGACCCGCCUCUGUGCUCCAGGGGCUGGCCUGUCUUGGGGGGCGCCGGCUUCCACCACUCGCCGCCCCACCCCUGCACUCCGUGACCUCUGAGAACCCAGCUGGCCCCUCGUUAGCCCCAGGGUCUGCCGUCCAGAGGGAGCCCACCGGACUCCGGACACUGUCUUCCCGUUAGAGCCCCGUCCUCCUCUGCGGGGCUCUCCGGACCCCCUUCCCCCUCACUUCCAGGCAGGGACAGAAUAAAUGUUUGUAUGGAUUUUA